rnacentral:rRNA from 1 species
UACGAAGGGGGCUAGCGUUGUUCGGAAUUACUGGGCGUAAAGCGCGCGCAGGUGGUCUUUCAAGUCAGUGGUGAAAGCCCGGAGCUCAACUCCGGAAAUGCCAUUGAAACUGUAAGACUUGAGGAUGAGAGAGGUGAGUGGAAUUCCCAGUGUAGAGGUGAAAUUCGUAGAUAUUGGGAAGAACACCGGUGGCGAAAGCGGCGCACUGGACCACAACUGACGCUGAGGCGCGAAAGCUAGGGGAGCAAACAGG